UCUGGCCUAUGCUCGGGCCUGGAACGGAAGGGGCCCUCUCUGGGGUGGCAGGCUGGCCCAACAGUUUUGAGGCGCUUGGGUACCUUGCCCGGACGCAGAAACAGCGGGGGACGGGUGGAGCCUCCAGUGCGCCGGAAAGUCCUCCCACCCAGGGAGACCCCAGCAAACUCCGGCUGUGGGAUGGGGCCUCCAGCGCCCCAUGCGCGGCCAGAGCCCUUCGUUGCCAGACCGCGGAGGCCAGGUAGGGUGCUUCCGCUUAGCUCCCGGUUGUUCUUCGUGGUUCCAACUGGUUUGUCUUCUCCAGGAGAUGAAUAGGUAAAUGAAUGAAUUAAUUAACAAGGGGGGUUAGCAUAGUCGCUGGUUUACAGUAGAUACCUUCCUCCAAUUGAGUCAGGAUUUGCCUGCCACCUGCUCCUAUUGGAAAUGCUUGCCUUCUGGUACCAGAAAGAACACUUUCCACAUGACAGCUCUGAAGACAAAAAUCAUGUUAUCAUUGUCUUUUUCUGGAUGCUCCACAAAUUGUAUACAUGUCCCUGUCUUACAAAUGACAUCCUGUAUGCACAGAGUCCUUAAUAUUUCCACAUAUAAUGUAUAAUCAGCUAAAACAUCAAUAUCAUCUUCACAUGACUUUCUGUUAAUCCAAGUUCUCCCCCACUAUGUAAGUGCAAUAAAUUUUAAAAAAUAAAUAAAUAA